rnacentral:lncRNA from 1 species
UAUUAUUACCAUAUUAACAAAUAGGGAAAACUUCAAAAACCCCCCCUGUGGUUUCAUGCAUUCUCACUUUCAUACCUUGUGGUUUAAAACGUAUCAAUUUGCCCCCAUGUGGUUUCAUUUUUCUCUUUUUGUUAUCAAUUUUAUUAUUUUUUUUCUUAAAUCAGUGACAAAAUUAAAAUUAAAGGAUACUAAAGUGAAUAUUCGAUAAACAUAGAUGGUUAUCUGAAGUUUUUUGUAUAUAAUUUAACGAAAUAUUAACGAAAAAACUUCUGAAAAGAUAAAAACGAAACCACAGGAGGGCAAAUUGAUACGUUUUAAAUCACAGGAUACUAAAGUGAGAAUGCAUGAAACCACAGGGGAGGUUUUUGAAGUUUUUCCUAACAAAUAUUAUUAUCUAGUGAAUUAAAUUAGACUGUAAAAUUUUAUUGUAUAAACUUAAAAAGUUUGAGCACUAAAGUGUCAUUUGUCUUUUAAGUUUGAAAAAUCACAGUGCAAUUUAUUAUUUUCUCUCUUUUUUUUAAAAAAAAAAUUUGGUUCCUAAUUUUUUCUUUCCUUUUCUAUUAUUAGGUUUUUUUUAUCCUCGUAUUUGUUACAGCUAGCGGCCAGUAAUCUAAAUAUUUAUUAAUUUUGAUAGAAUAAAUCAUAUCAAAUCAAAUAAAGCCCUUUCAAUUCACAUUGUAUAAUUUUUUUAUAUAUAUAUAAUAUAGAAUAGUCAAAUAAAUACGCUAAAUUAUAUAAAAUUACCUUUUUACCCUUAGUAAAUGUUCACCACAUUUAAGUGCAUAUCAGAGGAUAUUACCAUAUUAGUGGGUACCAAAAAUAUGCUUCCAAUUUUUUCCCUUUCCAAUCAAAUUAAGCCCCAUUUGUGCUUAUAAAUGUACAAAUCUUUAUUAUAUAUUUUUUUAAAAAUUCCUCUUCUCAACACCAUAUUCAACAUUAAACCCAAUCAAAUCUGAAUUCAAUAGAAACUUGCAUUUUUGAAAAUAUGAACUUGAAUUUGAAUUUCGAUGAAUGCAGCUAUAUCUGUGUUUUAAACUGUAUCCAAUUUAUAAGUAUGGUGCUUUAUAUUAUCUAUCCAUUCAGAUAAAAUACGUAUAGUUAUAAUUGUUGUAUUUAUAAUUGCAUGCACUAUGUAAUUAAAGCUGAACGACUAAUGAGGGUUGUCUGAUCAGAAGAAAUUAUUAAUACUGUGAAAAAGUGCAACAAUAUAACUGCAUUUAUCUUGUUUGGUUUGAUAUAAUAGAAGAUGUAUUGUAAAUAUAAAUAAUUUGUUUGACUGUAUGCAGUUGAAAAAUUAUAUUUAUAAAUUUUACUAAUUUAUAUGUGAGAUAAUAUAUCUUUUUGCUAAAAAAAAUUUAGAUAGUUAGAUUUACAUUUGUUUAAUUAUUGUCUGUUGAAGUUAAAACUAUGGCCAAAUUAAGCUUUAUUGCAUAAUUUUGUUUCUAAUCUUUAAAUUUAAUUAUAUUAAAUUAAACACUGUAUUUAAUUAUGCAUGCAGUUUCUAUUAGGGAUGUCAAUGGGUAAGUAGGGACAUUCCAAAUUUUGUCCGAAUCGAAUCCGAAUGAAGCGGAUUUAUCAGAUGUUCAACAGAUAUAGUUACGAUUAUGGAUAUCAAAGAAUGUAAAUCUGACAAAUUUAGAUUCGGAUAUAAAUUUUAACUGCACCCGAUUCAAGUCAAAUUGGAACCCGAACCAAACCCGAAAUAAUUUUACAUUAUAUAAUUAAUAUAUAUAUAAAUAUAUAUAUAUAUAUAUAUAUAUUUAAUAUUAAAUUUUAAAAAUUUAGAUUUAAUAUUUUAUAUUUUUUAAAAAUAUAAAUAAAAAUAAUAAUUUUGAAUUUGAAUUUAAAUUUUAAAAUUUUGAUUGUGUUUAAAUUUGAAUUUUUAAAAUUUGUUGGUUUCGAUUCAGAUUUGAUAGGCCCCUCCUGGGGAUUUGUGGUCGCUAUUGUGCCACGUGGCAGUGGAAAUUUCCAAGAUGUAGUGAUCCACCAAAAGCAAAAAAACCAAAAGGACAGUGGUGGGUCCUACCUUGUGACACGUGGCACAUACGAGAGCCAAUGAUUCGUGUCGAUUAAAAUAAAGUUUUUACGUGCGAUUUCCCAUAAUCUUGGGCAUUAUAUUUAGGAACAGUUUUGCAUAAAACCCCCUCCAAAAUAAUAUUAUUGACUUUUAGGGCUCCGCAUGGGAUCGCACAAAGAAUUGUAUACCGCAUAGCCCAUUUACCUACGAAGCCCAUUAUGGGCCCAUAAAUGUGUUUCCGCACAAACUUUAUAUGCGGACACCCGUAUAACCACUCAUCGCUCCACUUCCCGUUUCCUCUCGCCCCCAUUUCAAAAAUUUCCGAGCGGGGAAAAAUGUAUGGUGGCCCCCUCAACUACACCCUCUCCUAAAAUUGGCCCCUUAUCGCUUUAUUAUACUAACUAACAUCUUUUAAUUUUUUUAAAAAUUAAUUAACUUUUAAUCUAAUUCAUCAGUAAUUCAAUAAUAUCAACAGCUGAAAAUCAUAAGGUCGCUAAAUAUAAUUUAAAUAAAAGUUGGAAAAUUUUAAAAGUAUUAAUUAAAAAGUUACUAACCUGAGGGUCCUGUUCAAAACGUCUAUAGUUGAGGGGGGUAAUGGUAUAUUUACACCUUCCAAAAGAGCAUCGGCGUCGUCGUCGUCUUCAAAAUCCCAAACCCUCGCUCUCUGAACAUCGCCAUGGCUCACGCCGAGUUCGAUCUCAAGGUACUCCUACGAAACCCUAGCUCUCUCUCUCUCUCUCUCUCUCUCUCUCUCUCUCUCUCUCUCUCAUCCCUUUUUAACCUCGUUCUCUGUUCGAUUUCCGCAUCUGAUUCGCUUUUUUUUACCGCAAUGCAGGCUCCCGGAGGAGCCGCGCCGAUCGGUAUCGGGUGCGUGAUCCGUCUCUCGAUCCCUCUCUCUACCUCUUUACCCAUUUCGAUCUAUGUUUCGCCUACUACUUGUGUUUGCGAUUUCUAGGGUUUUUGAUCUGAGUUGGAAUUGCAGGGAGCACUCGUUCGCGGAUGUGGGGAACUUGGAGCACUGUGCCAAGUACCUCAACCAGACGCUUGUGACCUUUGGAUUUCCUGCGUCGCUCGAUCUCUUCGCCAAUGAUCCCGUGAGUGCGCUCGCUGAGUUCUUUUUUCUUUUUUUUUCUCCUUAUUUUUUGGGCUUAAUUACAUGUUACCAUACUGAAUUCUGAGGGUUUUUUUUGCUUUUGAUAUUGCAAUUUCUUGGAGGGAAAAAAAGCUCCGGACUUUAUCCUGUGCCAUUUGGGAUCGCCAUUCAAAUUUGGAAAAUGACCCAAAAACCACCUGAAUUAAAUACUAACAUUAAAAAAGACCACCUUUAUAGUGGUUUUGUGCACCAAAAUUAGAUUUUUCCGAUGAUUUUAUGUUAUUUUUAAAGUUCAGUUGGUGAUCUCAAGUUAGCGUAGGUGUGAGGCUGCUUUCUUUUUUUUCUUGAGUUUUUUUUUUUUUUUUUUUUUUUUUUUUCUGUGGUCAAACUCUCCAUUGAACUUCAAAUACCGGGGCAUCUUCUACAGACAAAAGAAUUUUAAGUGGGACCGAGUAUUUCUGUUAGUUAUGGUUUACUCAAUUCCCAUUCAGAGACAUAUAACUUGUUUGAUGAAUAAAGGUCUUAGGGUUUAUUUGAUUUGAUGAAUAACGGUCUUAGGGUUUAUUUUAGUUGGAAAAUAAUGGAGAGAAGCAGUCGCAGGAGUGAGCGUAGAUAGUACAAAAUCCAUUGCUUUCUCUGUGAGUAAAAUUCUUUUGUGUAUAUGCCGCUAAGAGUGACUGUAUUUGGCAUUCCAUAGUUCCAACUCAAAUCAAUAAUUUUCUUGCCUCCUUUGCCGAGAAAUGACUGAGAAUUGAUGUAUUUGUUGAGAAAUAUUAGAUGGAAAGUCAAAAUUACCAUUAAUCAGAUCUGACAUUGACUAUAAUCUGUUAGUAUAGUGUAUGGAUUGUAUGGAUUGUUGUAGAGCUUGGAGUCCCAUGGAGAGGUUGGCUAAAAGAGGAGUGUAGAAAGUGGAAACCAGCUUAAAGAGUUAAAGUUCAGUCUAGUGGAGUGUAAUUAAGCCUCCUUUUUUCCGGGUUUUUGCAAGCCUUCGAGUGCCGUAUUUGAUCUUUCCAUUCUUGUUUUGCUAAUGUUGGCGGUAGGUUUCUGUUGCGAGGACAUGCAACUGCAUAUAUUCGCUGCUCCAGCAGCGGCAGCGAGAUAUUGAGUUUAGGGAGUCCUCCAAUGAACAGAGGCAAAGGUGAGAUCAUAUGUUGCUAAUUGGUCUUUUAUUUCUUAUUCUUAAUCUUUUAAACUGAUAUGUUUAGCUAUGUAUUUGCAUUUAAAUUGGUAUGCCUCUUUUCUUUCUUCUUAAUCUUUCAUACUGAUAUAUUUAGUUAUGCAAUUGCAUUUAAAUUGGUAUGCCUUUUUAUUGUGAAUUUGGAAAUUUGCAUUGAAUGGUUUUCUGGCUUACAACUGUAAUCCUUUUCUUUUAGCACCCAUUUGUUUAUUAUUUGGGUAGGGGUUGGUAGUACAUGAAUGAUGACGUGGUUUAGAGAAAUCAAAAAUUGGAUCACAUUUGGGUCACUUGAUUGUUUUAUGCAAUUUCGCUGCAGCGGGUCUUAAUCUGCAAUGGUCUUAAUUUUAUCUGUCAUCUCACUAGAGGCAUAUGAUGUCAUUCAUUGGGAGCUUUCUAUUUUGAUAUGCAUAGUUUAUUAGAAGUUUUGUGUUCUCUUUCAUAUGCUGAAAUGCCUUUGUGAUGACCUGGCUAUCCAAUUUCUUCAGGUUGCAGUCUGAUAUAUCAAGGUUAGAGGCCAAGAUUGAAAGGCUCGAGGCACAGUUAGCUGCCAAAGAUCGAGAGCUGGCCACAUUAACCCGAACGGUUUGUUUGACAUUUUUUCCAGUUGUGUUGACUGGCAUUAAGCUUUGUUUUAUAUCUCCAUUAUGCUCCAAUGAUCAAGCUUCACAUGACCAGGAGGCGAAAAAUACCGCAGCUUUGAAGGCUCAGAUUGAAAAGCUACAACAGGAGAGGGAUGAAUAUCAAAAGAUGGUUAUUGGUAAUCAGGUAAAUUAGUUUUUGCCGUUAUGCUUCUUGUGUUCUUUUAUACUAUCUAAUAAUAUUCUUUGCUUCUCUAACUGUAUAAGUGUUAUUUAUUUUUCCAUCUUUUCCUUUAAAAUAGCGCCUCCUCACUACAUUAUCUUUUUCUUACUCUUUUCUUAAAAGCAAGUGAGAACACAACAAAUACAUGAAAUGAAGAAGAAAGAGAAGGAAUAUAUAAAGUUGCAGGUAAUGUAGUUAAUAAAUUUAUGUCUGAAUUUGUGAUUAUUAACAAUGUGAAACAUGAUUUGAGAUUAUUUGCCCAUAAGUACAAAACAGCAAUCUUUUCUAUUUGCUGUUUGUAGGAGCGGUUAAAUCAAGUGUUAAUGGAGAAAAAGAAGGAAUCCAGGUCAGGCAUGGAGAUAAUGAACCUAUUGCAGGUAUUGAAGCAUGCGGAAAGAAAUUUAAUUUUAAAUCAAUGUCAAUAUGUAGAUUUUAGGUGAAAUUUUCUGGUCAUUGUGCACAGGUGCUUCACAUCCUUGAUAGUUUCUCUUUCUUAUUGUCCAUUUUCUAUUAGUUUUGGUCAAAUUUAAGUUUGCUGCCUCCUAUUCUUUCUAAGUUUUUUUUUUUUUGUCAUCCACAUGAUGUUUUCUCAUGUGAUUAACAGAAAGAAGGACGCCAACGUGGAACAUGGAAUGGAAAGAAGGCAGACAAUGACUUCUAUAAAAUGAUUGUAACAAGUUUCCCGAUUCACUGAAUAUCUUUAUGUGAUUUUUUUCCUCCCCAAAAAUUUACAAUUUUUUGUAUUGGACCAUUAGGCUGAUGCAUAUGAAGUGAAGAAACAAGAGCUGAUGCAAGAGAACUCGGAUUUGCGGGCCUUAUUACGAUCUAUGCAGGUAGAAACUUGUAGUUGCAAGUUUUGGACUUACUGCACAAAGCAUACAUAUAUGUUUGAAUCUGUUUUUAUAAUAAAAUUUGACGGAUUUUACAUUAUUGAAUCUACAUUUGGUUUUCAUUUGCUUGUCCGCAAGAUUUUUCUUGUGUACAAUGUGUGUUUACGACUGGUGUGUCUAGUAGCCUAUUUUUCAUUUGCUUUAAGAUUUACAGUAUCUCUAUUUACUGCUUGCUUUUGGUUGAUAAGUGCCUGCAUCUUAUAGCUUUUUUGCAUUUGCACUAUCUUUUUUCUCUCAUGUUUAUGGGGUUGAUGAGUUUGAUAAACCGUUAUGUUUUAAAUAUAUUUGUCAUCCGAUGGAAGAACAAUUAUUGGAGUCAAUAGUAAUAAGCAAAUUUUGGUCCAAUUGAAAUCCUUUUAUAAAUUCUGCCGAUACUGGAUUUGGUGCCCAAUGAGUUACAAUAUUCAGUAUUCACAAAAAAAAGGAAUCAUGAAGAGUGUUUUUAAGUAAACGAGUGAAGUCCUUGACUUAUUAUUACCUUUUUAUUCAUUAAAGCUUAAUUGGAUUCCCCCCUUAGUGCAUUAGCAUAUACCAACUACUUUCUAAGAGUUUGGACAAGAGGAGUUUCUGGUGUUUGAGUGAGCCCAUGAUUGAUUUAAAACAACAACAAAAAAAAACCACCCUUCAAUUAAUGGAUUUUCUACUCGGUAAAAUUUGCAUAUGAUAAGUUACCACUUUGUGAAUCUAUAUCGUUGCCUUAGAACUUCUGCUUUUUUACUAUUAUGCUAUUGUCAAUGCGUCUUAAUGUUAUACUGUGAAUCUGUGAUCCAUGUCGACAUAUUCUGUAGUGAAAUCUUUUUUUUUUUCCUGAAGAAAAUUAGUUGGCUUAUGUUCAAGUACCUUUCUGCAUCAUUCAGGAUAUUUUUUAAAUUUUUAGGUACUUGUUUUCGUUACUUACCGAAAUUGCAGUUUGCUCUUGUGAGUUACAAGUUUGCUUCUCUUUAGAUGGAUAUGCGUGACUUCUUAAAUGCUCCAAAUGGGCUGUCCCAACAAACAUUGGCUGGCAAUGAAAAGCAAGAUGCUGGGUCACCUCAAUCCCCACUAGGUGGCAGGACGGUAUGGCAACAACCUUAAUUUUGAUAUGUUGCGUAUGGGUGCUUGUUAAGCAUGCACGCCAAAGAUGGUGUAGGGAGGAGUGCGGCUGAUUUGGGCAGGAUUAGUGUUUUUUGCUGUUGUUUUUUGUUUUGUUUUGUUAUUUUUUGUGAAAGGAGGGGGGAGUGAGGUAUGACUAAAAUAUCCCUGCAAAAUCAUAUAUUUAAAUACAUUCCAUUAUAAAAUCUGAAUUAUCAUAUAUAUUCCUCAAAACUAGUUAAUAUACUUUGACAGUAAGUGAGAAUUUAUGGAAAGAAGUUGAAUUUAUGUUCUCAAUUUUUUUUUUUUAAGUGUUGUUUUAAGCAGAAGGCUAUAUAUUUUAAAAAUAAAAAUUUUGAACGGCAUGGAUGGCAAUUCUUGAGGAAUAUACAUGUAAAAAGAUUAUUUUUUACAUUUAUGUAGCUCUUCUUUUAUCCUUGGUCUAAUCUCCAUCCAAAGUUUUAUACUCAUUUCACAUAAGGGCUUACUUGCAGGAUGUCUUUGAUCUACCUUUCCACAUGGCUAGAGAUCAAAUAGAAGAGAGUUUACGGACCAAGAUGGCUUCUAUUAAGGUGAUACGCGACGGCCUUAUACAUUCAAUCGGAUGAUCAGUUAUUGUCACUUGUUAAGUUUGUUUCUGUUGCAAAGUACAGUAGAACUUUUCUUUUGAAAAAAAAAAAAAAAAUUGUCCUACAGGCACGGAUGGUGCAACUUCAAGAUGCUCAGAAGGGAGCUGAGGUGACCUCCGAAGUGACUGAGAGGGAGCUUGAGCUUGAAGCUCAACUUGUUGAGGCUAGGAGCAUUAUCCAAGAGCAGGUUCUGAUGCCUAUUUUUGAUACAGAUGCAUGAACUUUAGGGCGCAUUUGGUUCGCACUAUAAAAGAUUACUAGGAGUAAAAAGAUAUCCGAGAAUCUUAUUCCUAUUCAUCCUAUUACUAAGAAUGUAGUAUUUCGGUGUUUGGUUCGUACGGUCAUAUUAUUUAGUCAUGUUAUUUAAGAUUACGAAAAAUAUAUAAUUAAUUAAUUUAAUUUUAAAUAAUACUAUAAAAAAUUUUAACAUCUUUUUUAGAAAAAAGAGAGAGAAUAUAGGUUAGAAAGAGAUAGCGUAAUUAAAGAAAUAGGAAGAGAAAUAGAGUCGAGGUUAGAGAGAAUGAGAGGGUUGAGAUUUUAGAAAAAGAUAGGGAGAAAUAACUUAAUUUAGAGAGAGAAAAAAGGUUGAAGUUUAGAGAGAAAAAGAUAAGUUUAGAGAGAGAUAUGAGGUUAGAGUGUAAAAAAAAAUAAAACCAACUAGCCGGCAGGUAGGGAGAAAAAAAAAGNAAGGUUGAAGUUUAGAGAGAAAAAGAUAAGUUUAGAGAGAGAUAUGAGGUUAGAGUGUAAAAAAAAAAAAAACCAACUAGCCGGUGGGUGGGAAAAAAAAAAGAGAUUAGACAUAUUAUAAUUACUCCAAUCCAUUAAUAUAAGGAUACCCACCCUCUCCCUCAAAGGAAUGAGAUUAGUACUUUGGGAUGCAUCUCAUUCCCAAGUAAAUCCGGUAUUACCAACUAUAUUACUUAGUGCGUUUAGUCAAACACCGUCAUAUUUUUUUAUUCCUAUUGGAUUACUAGGAAUCUUAAAAAGAUAGCGCGAACCAAACGCACCCUUAGUUUGUUGUCUAAACCAAUGUUUACUGUUUAGUAGUUAGUGCAAGUUUUUUAUCCCUUCCUAGUAACAAAAAGUAGUUGGUGCAAGCGUAUACGGAACUCGUGAGAGUAACCUGGUAUAUAUGUUAAAUAACCAUGCAGGCUUCUAUAAUGUCCAAGCAUUUUGCCAAGUCUGACAAGCCAAGGUAGUUUCAGAGUGCUUUAUUUUUUUCUUUUAUUUUUUUUUUUCAAUCCCUUCAUUUUAUCUCGAUUUGCCUAUUUAUGUUUCUCUCCUUUUGUGCAGGAGAUUAAGUGGCCAUUUAGAUGCCGAGAGGGAAAGUAUCCAUUCAGCAUUAACUGAGGUAGGGAAAAAGUAAUUUCUUUUCUCUAGAUUUUGUUUGCAAUUAGUUUGAUCUAUUCCUCCAACACCAUGAUAACGUAGGUCGAUAUGUUCUAUUGGAACAAUUUCUUCAUUGAGUUGCUAUCGUUAGUUUGAUCUGUGCCUUUUUUUCUUAAUAUACUAAUUUGAUUAUGUGUAAAUUUGUUUGGGUGGGACAAAAGAGGGAUAAUUUUAAUAUGUAAGACGUUCGUCAGAACUUAUAAUUAUUCUGGUCACACUAGGUUAUUCUAGAAUAUUACAUAAAUAUUAUCCAACAAAUCCAUAGAAAUGUGCCACCCCCCAAUAUAUAUCCGUAAUUAUCCUGAAUGUGCGCACAUCCUCCGCAACUUCUAUUUGUUUUGAUUAAUUUUUUUCCUUUGCAUGUUGAAUUGUGGCGAGUUUGUUAGGUUUAAUGGUGAUUUGAUUAAUUUGAGUGGCUUUACAAGUUCUGUUUGACAAAAUUGUGGGGUUUGUCGACAAUUAGUAUUAGGUAGUUAACUGACAGUUAAGUUUAACUUAAACCCCCAACCAAUUCGGUAGAAAUAACACAAAUUGAAAGGAAAAGGAAAAAAAGAUUGGGGGGUGCCGACAAACAAUGACAAGUCUAUUUUGAAAUGGUCUAUAGCUGAGGGCGUCUCCUUAUACAUAUUUACCUAACGGGAUAUUUGUCGAAACAGGUUAUGACUCUUUUUUUCUUAUAUUUAAAUCUAUUUCCACUUAUCAUGCCAUUACAUAUGUUUACAGGCAUUGUAGAAAAUGCACGGCUCGCCUUUAUUCUCGUCCGACGGUGCAUACUCUUGCUCCAAGUGUAGGCCUUCCUUUUCUUCAGUUCCCUAGUAGAGCUGAUGAAGUAAGUGUUUACAAAUAGGACUAGUGCAACUUUUCUAAGUACUCCAGAAUUUUAUUAGAUUAAUGGAGAGGAAUCAUUAGGUUCUCAAAAUCGCCCUCUCGGUGAAAUCCUUUGUGUUGUGUAGCUCAGUUUCUUGUUCCUGAAAAGAAUCAAAAGCAUUCUUAAUUUUUAUAACAGUUUAUGUUGUGUUACUCUGCAUCAACUAUGAUCUUUCAUCAUAUGAUUUUUGCUCUACUACUGUUUCUUGAUCAUCAAUUAAAAAAAAUGUUACAAAUGAAAAAACAUGUCCAUCGGCGGAUUCGAUUUUGAUGAUUUUGAAGAUAAGGGACCCAUUUUCAGAUGAUCAGCUGUUGAAGAGGAUUCAUCAUUGUGUUUUCAGGUUUCAGACUAUGUGAUACUCUCACACAUUCAACACUUGUUUUAGCCAAACACUCCAGAUUAAAAGAAACUCAGUUGAAUCAAGCAAACAUUCACUCUUUUUGCUUCUACCUGCAUCAAGCUUUUCUUAGGUUUUUAAGGUUUUGUUUGGGAUUACAUUCGUGAAUAACAUCUCAUUGGAUAUAUUGCUAUGAAUCGGUUAAAAUAUAAGAUCCGCGGUUCCAUCGAAAAACAGAGAAGUAUAUUUUUGUAUAUACUUUGACGGCUCUCGGUAGCAAGCAAGGGCUUAUUAGAAAAGUAGGACUUUUUCAAACAGCUUUACUCAAACAACACUUUUUUGUACAGAAUAACUCGAUCUUUGCGUACAAUUUAGACUAUGAAUUAACUUAAAUCAAGCUUUUCAUCAUUAGUACAUUGAGAAUUUUGCACUUUGGUAACAUCUAAGUUACAAAGUUAAACUUCAACCACAACCUGAAACACAAACAACAUCCAACAAAUCUUAUUACAAUCCCACUCUCUCCUAAGGAUGAACUGCUUCUUGCUCUUCUUAUUCCGCGCGUGCGCGCGCGCAAAAACAGCAAAUAAACCUCAUCUAGUUUUUCUUGUUCUUGUUUGAUCUAGCGCGCGAAAACCCUAUCCGGAUUCCUUACAUAUUUCCAGCAGCAGUUGCUCUCUUCCCCCCUGCAGCUUUGCAGAGAAGCACUCCACAAAUAAUCCCUCCCAUCAAUCCUCCUCCUAGUGAAGCUCAAUCCAGCAACAUGAACUCCACUUACACUAAACCUUUUCCCUUCAACAUCCAAAAUUUUAGCCUCAAUCAAUCCAAUCAUAAGCUCCCCAAUAGCCCCAUGCCCUUCUUUUGGAUCCCUAACUUGAAUCAACACCACAACAACUACGCAUUCGUCGGUGGUCGUUGUUGUCGUCGUCGUCGACGAUGCCUCCUUCGAUCUCCUCGUGAGGAAGUCGCUUUCGCACCGACUCGAACUCAUUUGAAUCCGUAGCCCCUCGAGAACUAGCCCUUCCAUUUUGUCCAUCGCGUUUAGAAGGAUUGCCUCCGUGUAGUUGUCCUCGCAACUGGGUAAACCGGUUCUGCUGGCGAUCUCGCUUGCCCUAAUUCCGGUUAUGUCUCUCAUCGGCAUCGAUUCCAUCAAGCAUCGGCACAAGUCCUCCAUUUUCAUCGACACCAUUCCUCGAAUAACCUACGAAAACCAACAAACCGUAAAACUCUCACAUUAGUACAUGCGAAUACACUUUUGCGAUCAAGGACUACUUUUUGGGCACCUCGAACGCAGUCGAAGCAUUCUCGGCGAUGGUCGGUGGGGAGACUUGCAUGACUAGCCUCCCCCAUGGUCGGCCCAGUCUUCUGAUCUCGUGUACGUAGCUUCCGUCCGGCAGUCUCGUCAGCUCUCUCUCGCGAACCGAUAUUUUCUUUUCCUCUUUCGUCGUACUCUUAUCGCAUUCUGUAACCCUCCUCUCUUCGCUCAGCAACUUCUCUAGUUUCUGAAGUUCUUCUUCCAACCGCCGUGCUCUUCUCCAGUAUUCCUCGACGACCGCUUCCCCAUCCCUAAAGAAAGGCAAAGGCGGAGGCGGAGGCGGGGGUAUGGGAUUCGAAUUUAAUGGGGGGUCGGGGGAAGGAGAGGUUUUCGGGUGCGGGAGGGGUCGAAGGCGCGAGAAAUAAGAUUUAAUCUUCUUCGAACAACCGGUAGAAACUACUAAAGAAGAGGUAGAAAAUUCAUUCUUCUUGUUUGUGGACAUUGCAAGAUUUCUCAACAAAAAGUGAAGAAGAAGAGGAAAAAAAAGAAAAUUUUUCUUCUUUUUUUUUUUUGGGUAAAUAACUAUAUGAUUGAGACUCUGUUUGGUGAUUUAUUGUAAGCAGGUGUUUGGGUUUGUUAGGUUGUUGCAUUUUGUUAGGGGCCCCUUACAAUUUGAAUUCAAAUUCAAAUGGGAAAGAAUCCAACGGUCACAUUUUAUUUCAUUUUUCUUUUUUUAUAUAUUUUUUAAAGCCCAAUGUAUAAAUACUACACACUGUAGCUACAUUGAUUAGCAAAAAUGAAAAAUCUAUUCCAUAAUAUAUUAUGAUUUAUGGUACAUGGGACCUAACCUGAUAUGUGACAUAUAGUGCGUUUUGAAAUUGGUAUCUGAAUUUUAAAAGUUUUGACUUUACGUUCUCAAGUUAUAAUUUUUUAGAAACAGAUACAUGAACAUCUAAACAUGUGAUUCAACUAUAAUUAUUGACUGUCCCUGUCGCAAGUAGCGAACAAUUUGGUAGUUGAUACCUGAGGUCGCGAGUUCGAAUCCUAGUUGAUUCAUAUUUUCAGCUAAGUUUAUUUCUAAAUGAAAUAAACGAAGCGGGUAGCAUGCUAUCUAUCUCUCGCAAAAAAAAAGAAGAAGAAAUUAUAACUUUAGAGUAUGUGAAAUGGUUUUGAUCUAAUUUUAUCUAAAAAGAAACUUUAUACUUAUUCUGAAUCAGUUUCUGAAUGGUGGGUGGUUUGUAUCCUACACAUACAUAUUUACAUAGUUUGAUCUUGAGAUCAACCAGAUUCAGAUCAGCAAAUUACGAAAAUGAUUUAAAAAAAAAUGGUCCUAAAUUUGCCUCUUCGGAUCAGACAGAUUCACACAAAAUGUGGGAGGAAUUCUACACUGUCACACUUGCACCACGUCAUCAAUAACAAACCAAUCACAUUCCUUCUUUUUAAACAAAAGUAUAAUAAAAAUACUUUUUUACAAUCAUGAUGGGACAUAUAUUCUUAAAAGGAUUAAUUUGAUUGGUUUGUUACGCCACGUCACUAAUAUACCCGUUGCAUUCUAGAAUUUCUCAAAAUGUGGACCGGGUGUAUGGUCCACCGGUUCACAGCUGACGUGGUGAACAGGGUCCAGCCAAGAACCAAUCUCCCACCACCGCCCCACCCUCCUGAUCACGUUAUCGUUGGUGGUCGUUGAACAUGAAGAGAGAGAAACAUGAGUUAGAGAGAGAAACACGAGUUAGAGAGAGAAAGAAGAGAGAGAGUGAGUUAUUUAGAGAGAGAGAGAGAGAGAGCACCACUCCCACCACUCACUAGAAUAAUCAUCUCUCUAGAGAGAGAAAGAAGAGAUAGAGAGAGAAAGAGAGCACCUCUCUCACCACCCAAUAGAGUCAUCUCUCUCUAGAGAUAGAGAGAGAAAGAAGAGAUAGAAAGAGAAAAGAAGAGAUAGAGAGAGAGAAAAGAAGAGAGAGUGUUAGAGAGAGAGAGAGAGAGAGAGAGAGAGAGGGGGAGCACCUUCGCUUCGUUCUCUCUCUAAACCCUCAACAAUGGAGGGCUCCCUCUUCCCCAACCGCCCCUCCCUCCCCACAAACCCUAACCCCCCCACAACUUCCCCCCGCACGAAGCUCAACCUCCUCACCCUCCCCUCUCCCCCUCCCCCUCCCCCCUCCUCCUCCUCCUCCUCCUCCUCCUCCUCCUCAUGAAUCCAAUUCAUCCUCUUCCCACCCCCUCUCCUCUUGGUAGUAGAUUCUCUAANCUCCUCCUCCUCCUCCUCCUCCUCCUCCCUCUCCCUCUCCCUCCCCAUCGACUCCCUCCUCCACCACCUCACCUCCUCCUCUUCCUCCCCAAACCCUAACAAAGCCCCCACCUUCAACCCCUCCCGGCCCCAAUCCCCGCCGACGCAUUUCGAUUUCCUCUCCCCCGACGCCAAUUCCCUUCUCAAAUCCAUUGCCGCCCUACCAUCGCCGGCACUAGAAUCGUUCCUAAACUCCUCCAAAGGUGAGAUUUUUACCUCCGAUUUCGCCGGCUUGCUGAAGGGACUCGACGCCUCCGGGCAUUGGGAGCGCUCGGUGAGCCUCUUCCGGUGGGCCGCUUCCGAUCCCGGAAUCCGCCGUGCCAAAUUGGACGCCCCCUCGAUCGAAUUGAUCAUCAGGGUGCUGGGCCGGGAGUCGCGGCACUCGCUCGCCUGCGAGGUGCUCGACGGAAUUCCCCUGAGGGACUUCUGCCUCGACAUCCGCGCCUACACCACGCUGCUCCACGCGUGCUCGCGGGCGCGGCGGUACGGGCGGGCCCUCGCCCUGUUCGGCGAGAUCAAGCACCAGGGGCUCCGGCCCACCCUCGUCACGUACAACGUCGUGCUCGACGUGUACGGCCGGAUGGGCCGGUCGUGGGGUGCAAUUCGGGAGCUCCUCGACGAGAUGAGGCGCGAGGGGGCCGGGUUCGACGAUUUCACCUGCAGCACGGUUAUCUCUGCCUGCGGGAGAGAAGGGCUGUUAGAGGAGGCGUCGAGCUUCUUCGAGCAAUCGAAAGCUCGGGGUUUUACGCCGGGAAUUGUCACGUAUAAUUCUCUACUACAAGCUUUCGGAAAGGCCGGGAAUUACGCGGAGGCUUUAAGUGUGUUGAGGGAAAUGGAGGAGAAUGAUUGCUCGCCCGAUGCUUUCACUUACAACGAGCUCGUCGCGGCUUACGCUCGAGCUGGGUUUUUCGAAGAGGCCGCGGCGGUUUUGGAUACAAUGGGUGGUAAGAGUAUUAUGCCGAAUUCGGUAACAUAUACAACGGUGAUUAAUGCGUAUAGUAAGGCGGGAAAGGUCGACGAGGGUUUAGCCUUGUUCGACCGGAUGAAGGAGUUGGGUUGCGUUCCGAAUGUUUGUACGUAUAAUACCAUCAUAGGAAUGUUGGGGAAAAAGUCGAGAUCAAAGGAAAUGUUGGCAAUACUUGGUGAGAUGAGGAACAAUGGGUGUAAGCCGAAUAGGAUUACGUGGAACACCAUGCUUGCAAUGUGCGGAAAGAAGGGGAUGGAACACUACGUGAGACGGGUCUACGCGGAGAUGAAGAAUUGCGGGGUUGAGCCGGACCGUGACACGUUCAACACUUUGAUUUCCGCGUACGGUCGGUGCGGCUCCCGAACCCAUGCUUUAGAGAUGUAUGAUGAGAUGGUGAGAGCCGGUUUUAGCCCUUGUCUUACUACGUACAAUGCCUUGUUGAAUGCGAUCGCCAGAAAAGGCGAUUACGUCGCCGCUCAAUCUGUGUUGUUGGAUAUGAAGAACAAAGGAUUUAAGCCUAAUGAGCUCUCUUAUUCUUUGUUACUUCAAUGCCAUGCGAGGGCAAAAAAUGUAGAAGGGAUAGAGGCGAUCGCAAAAGAAGUUUAUGAAGGCCAAAUUUUUCCGAGUUGGGUGAUAUUGAGGACACUUGUUAUUGCCAACUUCAAGUGUAGAGUUUUGAAGGGAACCGAAAGAGCAUUCGAGGAGCUAAAGAUUAAAGGGUACAAACCCGACUUAGUCGUUCUCAAUUCUAUGCUUUCGAUAUACGCAAAAAAUGGAAUGUAUGAAAAAGCUCGUGAGAUGUUCGAUUCAAUCCGUAAAAGUGGUCUCGAGCCCGAUUUAAUCACGUACAAUAGCUUGAUGGACAUGUACGCAAAAUGUGGCGAGUGUUGGGAAGCCGAAGAUGUAUUGAAACAGCUCAAAGUAUCCGGGAUCAAACCGGAUUUAGUGUCUUAUAACACCGUGAUUAACGGAUUUUGCAAGCAAGGGCUAAUGAACGAGGCUUUGAGGAUUCUAUCCGAGAUGAUGGGAGAAGGUAUAGUUCCUUGCAUGGUUACAUACAAUACGAUUAUCGCUGGGUAUGUCGGCAUAGAGAUGUUCAAUGAGGCUAACGACGUAAUUAGCUACAUGAUGAAGCAUAAUCUCAGACCCACUGAAUUGACGUAUAGAACGAUUCUCGACGGGUAUUUUAAAGCCAGAAAAUAUGAAGAAGCUGCAGGUUUUGUUUCUGAAAUUAUGAAGAUCGAUCCGGAUUUUGAUAAGCAAUCACAGCAGAGGCUAAAAGUUCAUGCACAACAGAACCUCGAGUCGCGGUAAUAACUUGGUACUAUUUUGAUUAAGUGCGAAAGAUGACAUUUUGACACUGUUCUGUUCCCUGUUUUCGCUGCCCGGAAGUUCAUGAACUGAUUGCUUUUCUUUUGAUGCAGUUCUAGUUCUCCCUAUGCCGAAAUAUUUCAUUUAAUUCUCAUUAUAUAAUGUAGAGUUGAGUAUGUUUUAUCGCUCGGUACAUAUAUCAUCUGACACGAAUAAUCAUGUUAAUCAGUUUCUAUUGUUCUCGUUGUCGUGGAAUGGUAAAAAGAAAAUCAAUGUUCGUGGAUUUAUUUUGUUUUGGAGAUAUUGGUGUUUCAACUGCGAAGGAUGAAAAAUUCAACGGUAAUCAAUUUGCAGAUUACUUUUUAGCACAAGUUUAAUUCAUUCAGAGGCAUUGUACAUGUUCAGGAAAUUAUCAUCUGGGUAGAGUUAUAUCCUGAAUAUUUGGGGUUUGAUAGAUGUUGAUUUUUAUGUGCAAGAGAUGAAAUGUUAAUCGUAUUUUAUACACCAUUUUUGCCACCCAAAAGUUCUUAAACUGGUUGUUUUUUCUUUUUUAAUGCAAAUCUUAGUUCAUUUUAGAAGUGUUAUAUUUAGCAAAUUAUUCGCAAUUAAAGUUCUUAUUAUAUAUUUCCCAUGCCCCAUUGUUGUUUCCCUUUCAGAGUUCCCCUCCUCUUUCGCAGGUGAUCGUGGCAAGGGUAUCGCACUGUAGUAAGGUUCCCAGCUUUUAUUUUGGUGUUGUAGAAUAAAAUGUUAAAUGCAUACAGGUCCCUCUAAAUAUAGUGAAUUGCAAAUAUAUUCCAACAAAAUUCAACUUUCAUAUAUUGUCUCUACAAAAGUUCUAAUGUUUUCAAAUAUAUUCUUCUGAUUUGUUAUCGUUAUAGAACUAUUUAUAUUUUAAGUAGAAUGUCAAUUUUGCCAUUAUAAAUAUGUCCCUCCAAAAGCCACAAUAGUAUAAUAGAAGAGGGGCAAAAAUGUCAAGUUAUUUUAUAAACUAAUCAGGGUUAAGUAUUUAACCUAUGGUUAAGUGAAGUUUUCUAAUGGAUUCUAACGGCAGGGACAUAUUUGAAAAUAUUAAGACUUUUGCAGAAACAACAUAUGAAAGUUAAACUUUGUAGGGAUAUAUUUGCAAUUCACUAUGUUUGCAAGGAACCUGUAUGAAAUUAAUCGUAGAAUUUAAAAGAAUUAUGCUAUGAUACUUCUACUCGUAUUAAACUCUUGUUUGUUUGUAUGAAUUGAAUGUUGUUAUUUAUAGCAUUGUGUGUAUUGGAGAGUCCUAUGCAUAUGGCGGAUCUGAACAUGUUAUCGGGGGAGGUGCUUUCGCUCAAGCAUGAGACGUGACAGAUUAAAGAUUAUUCACAAUUAAAGUCUUUUUAAAAUAGAGUAUGCUUUUAUUUCAGGUACAUACAUAGCCUGGCACAAAUAGUUGGUAUUUCGCUUGUUGAUUUGCUAAUUCUUCUUGUUGUUAUCAUAUAAUCUGGAGUGAGGCUACUAUGCUAUCGGAAGCACGGAGCCUUCCGUGCUUCCAGCUCGUUUUCGAUGUUGCGACUUUCGAAUCGUCGAUCGGCUCCGUUAAACUUGAUCUAGAGUAUUUGGAGUACUUAGAAAAUAAAUUUUAUUAUUUUUCGAUAUCAUUUGCCUAGUGAUCGAAUGGGCUCAAAAUCAACAAAUUUCAAUGGCCGUAGUGAGCCGUUUGCAAGUUUAACGGUGUAGAAAUAUCCAAAUCACGUGAAAUUUUGAUAGAAAAUUCUUUAUACUAUAUAAAACAAGAUCAAUAUCUUUGAUUUAAAAUUUUAAUGUCAUAUUAUUACAUUUUGUAAGAUUUUUAUUUUCAGCCGUUGAUUUUGAGCCCCUUCGUUCACUAGGCAAAUGAUAUCGUAAAAUCAUAAAAUUUAUUUUCUAGGUAUUUCAAAUACUCUAGAUCAAGUUUAACGGAGCCGAUCGACGAUUCGAAAGUCGCAACAUCGAAAACGAGCUGGGAGCACGGAAGGCUCCGUGCUUCCGAUAGCAUAGUAGCCUCACUAUAAUCUGAGAAUUUAUGUUUUGUUAGUUUAUUUUGCUCUGAAACUUGAGAAAUUUACCUGUGUUUUUUAUACUAAUAUUUUAUUAUUUAUUCUUUACAUAAAUUCAUUUUCUAUAAUUCCUAAAACACUCAUCUAUACUAUAAUAAAUGGUGAAUCUAUAUCUAUACAUAUACAUUAUUUUUUAUAUAAUUUACCACGUGGCCAGCCCCCAUCUCUGCCUGAUAUUUCAUUUUUCCGCUCACCCACUUUCCAAUUAAUACAUUUAUACGGUCCAUAGUCAUCUAAAUAAAUCACUUUCAUAGAAAAAAUAAUUAAAAUAAGAUCUCUUUAUAUUCAUUUUUCUCAUACUAUUUGUAUUUAUUAAUAUCUGAUGGUAAGUCGAAAAAUUUUAAAAUUUUUUUACUUUAUUAAUCUUCUGCUUUUUAUAGUAUUAGAAUUUUUUUACUUUAUUAAUCUUCUGCUUUUUAUAGUAUUAGCCUGCUGUAAUGCGCGGAUAACUUUACUAGUCAUGCAAUAAUCAUGGCGUCUCUUUCUUUGUUUUCUUUACUUUUAUGAUUUAGUUCUCCAAUGAAAUGGGACCAUCAUUAUAUUAUAUAUAUUUAAAUGUAAAAGAUCUUUAUUUUUUCAUUUUUAAUUGGGAAAACUUUAAAAACCCCCUAUGCGGUUUCGUAGUUUCUCACUUUGCUCCCCUGUGGUUUAAAAUGCAUCAAUUUGCCCCCCUGUGGUUUCUUUUUUCUCUUUUUCAUAUCAAUUUUAUUAUUUUUUUUUCUUAAAUCAGUGAUAAAGUUAAAAUUAAAUGGUACUAAAGUGAAUAUUUGAUAAAUCUAGAUGGGUAUCUGAAGUUUUUUUGUAUAUAAUUUAAUAAAAUAUUAACGAAAAAGCUAUCGAAAAGAUAAAAACAAAACCACAGGGAGGGCAAUUUGAUACAUUUUAAACCACAGGGGGGCAAAGUGAGAAACUAUGAAACCACAUGGGGGUUUUUGAAGUUUUUCCUUUUUAAUUCGAAAAAGUUUGGAACAAAAGCAUCAUCACAAUAACAUUUUUUAUUCUGGGUGAUUUCAGAAUAAAAUUUAUUUUGUUAUUCAUCAAAAUAAAAUUAUGAUUUUGCUAAAGUACUAGUGUCGUAAAAUAUCUUAUUUGCAUAAGUAAUAAUAUGUCACACAGAACAUAUUAGCUUCAUAUAUAUUUUGCUAAAAUAUAUAAGCUACAUUAUACAUGCAGUAAAUAACUGAGUUAAUUGCAACUCAGCACGAAUCUUCCAGCAACUUGUUUCUAUCAUCACUCAUUACGCAUCUUGAUGCAAAUUUAUAAAUUUUUUGAUGCUUGUUAAAAAUGAUAAAAUCCAUUAAGAAAAUAAAAUAUUAGCAAAUUAUAAUCUAACUCGAAUCUUCUAGAAGAAUCUGGCUAAGUAGGCACAAUGAGGUCAUUAGUGACACAUUAAUUAAAAAAAGGGAAAUAAAAAAAUGGGACACGUGUCACAAAUCUAAUGGAUGAAAGAGGGGAAAAGUGUACUAAAAGUGUAUUCAACUUAGAAUAAUACGCAAUCAAAGAGGUCAUAAACCUCUAAAUUCUUUUUGACUAAAAUAAUAAUAAUAAAUCUAAAUAUAAUUUAUUUGCAUUAUAGAUCAUUUUGAUUUGAUUAUUCAAUCUUUCCAAAUCUCAAUCUUACUACUCGAUUUUUCAAUUUAUUUAGUUUAAAUCAUUUAAUAACUUUUUUGAUACCAAAUUUUAGUUAAUUAAUUAUUUUAAUAUACUUAUUCAAUCAGUAAAUGUAGACAAAGUAUAAAAAGUUGAGCUUGUUCCUCAUAUAUUUAUUUUUUUCAAAAAAUAAAAUUAUUAUUUACUAGUUUUUUUCUAGAACCUGAAAAAAAUAUUUUGUUAAAAUUGUAAAAAAAAUUAGUUUCGCUUGAAAUCAAGUAGAUAGAAAAUUGUAAAGAAAUUUCCAUGAAAUAUUUUCUCUCAAAAAUUUUAUUUUCAUACUUUUUGAGAAAUAAAAUAUAGAAUAUUUUUUAUCCCACUUUUUUUUAUUAUUAUAUAUAUUUUUAUUUUUAUUAUUUUAUUCUUCUUGAUGGCUUGGGAAAGAAGAGAUUCCUCACACGGCGCCACCUUUUUUUAUUAUUAUUAUAUAUUUUUUAUUUUUAUUAUUUUUAUUUUUAUUAUUAUCUCAAUCCAACGGUCCACAUUUAUCCGAAGCUUCCACAUUGCGGCUUUUUUUUUUAAUUUUUUGCAUUUAGUCCUCUCUUAAAUUUUUUUCACAAAAAACCCUAUAAAAUUUAUAAUUAUAAAUUUGGCCUUAUCUCCGCCACGCAAGCAUCAUGUAAGCACCAUAAAUUGAAUACGGCGGUGAAUCAUUCACUGUGUUUGGACGGGAUGAACAGUAUCCAACUUCGCAGUGCAAAAGAACUCAAAUAGCCCCGCUGUGCAUGGUUUACUGUGUUCAACUUAUGGCAGCCAACGGCUGACGCGACUCUUGCGUGGCGGGAAUAAAGCCGGUUUUGUAAUUAUAAAUUGGGUUAAGUUUAUACAUGUCCGUGCAAAUAUAGUGAAUGACAAAUAUAUUCCUACAAAGUUCAACUUCCGUAUGUUGUCCCUGCAAAAGUCCUGAUGCUUUCAAAUAUAUCCCUCUGAUUUUUGUUACCGUUAAAGAACCGUUAGAAAAUCGUUUAUAUUUUCAAUUUUGCCAUCACAAAUAUAUCCCUCUAAAAGCCAUAACAGUAUAAUAUAAAAGGAGUAAAAAUGUUAAAAACUAGCUAGGACUAAGUAUUUAACCUAUGGUUAACUAAAAUUUUCUAACGAAUUCUAACUGCAGGGACAUAUUUGAAAACAUCAGAACUUUUAUAGGAACAACAUAUAAAAGUUGAACUCUGUAGGGAUAUAUUUAUCAUUCGUUAUGUUUGCAGGGACUUGUAUAAAAUUAGCCUUUAUAAAUUUUGUGGGGCUAUCUGUGAAAUAUUUUUUUGAGGGUGCUAAAUGCAAAAAAAAACCCCUCUCUCUAUAUAUAGUAUAUACACGAGAGAACGAACCCCCCUCUCUCUAUAUCUAUAUAUAUACACGAGGGAACGAACCCACCAUUUUCGUAUAUGUACAAAGCAUCCAAUUUUAGAGAGAGAGAGAGAGAGAGAGAGAGAGAAUGGAGGGAGGAGAGAGUAGGGGGAGCAAGGUGGUGGUGGUGGGGGGCGGCGUCGCCGGAGCCCUCCUCGCCAAAACCCUACAACACGACGCCGAUGUGACCCUCGUUGAUCCGUGAGACACUAAUCCCUCCCCCCUCUCUCUUUCUUUUUUUUUUUUGGAUUUGGGUUGCUUAAUCAGUUAAUCACUACCCAGGGGAUGUGAUUUUGGUGGGAAUUGGUUGUGUUUGAUUGGGUUAAGCUUCGAAAUUUUUGAGUGUUUGGGUUGCAUUUUUGGUUGUUGCUUUGGUAAAGGGGACGUUUUUUCUUUUUUAAUGCUGUUUUGGUGUAGCAUUGAUCUCUAGGUUUGUUCUUUUUGGGUCGUAAUCGUUAUUUAAGAGAUGUAAUCGGGGUUAGAUGCUUUGGUUUUUGAGUUAUUGGGUUGGUUUGUGGUGGUUGGUUUGGUAAAGGAUGCAUUUUUGAUGUUGUUUUGUUCUAAUAUUGAUCUAGGGUGCUCUUUAGGGUUCUUAAUCACUAUUUAGGAGAUUGUAAUUAGAAUUGGUUGUGUUUGAUUAGAAAUUUUUGAGUGUUCGGGUUGGUUUGUGGUACUUGGUUUGGUAAAGGUGAGAAUUAUUUUUUUUUUAUAAAUGCUGUAUUGGUGUAGCAUUGAUCUCUAGGUUGUUCUUUUUGGGUCUUAAUUACUAUUUAAGAGAUGUAAUUGGUGUUAGAAUUGGCUAUGUGAUGUUGAGGUAAACUUUGAUUUUUGAGUUAUAGGUUUAAAGUUUGUGGUAAUUGGUUUGGUAAAGGAGGCAUUUUGAUAGUUUGAUGUUGGUUUGUUGCAAUAUGGAUCUAGGGUGUUCUUUUUGGUUCUUAAUCACUAUUUUGGAGAUGUAACUGUAAUUAGUAUUAGCUGUGUUUAAUUUGGUUAAGCUUUGAGUUAGGAGGAAUUUGGUUGGUUUGGUAAAGGCGACAUUUUCAAUGCUGUUUUAGUGUGACAUUGAUGUUCUUUUGUGUUCUUAAUCACUAUUUAAGAGAUGUAAUUGUGGUAAAAAUUAGAUGUGUAUAUUUGGGUUAAGCUUUAAUUUCUCAAUAUUUUGGUUGUUUUGUGGUGAUUGGUUUGUUGAAAGAGGCGCUUUGAUGUUGUUUUGUUAUAUGUGUUGGUUACUAUUUUGGGAUUUGACUUUUUCUUAACUUGGAUUCUUAAAUGACCAAAAUUGGUUUUUCGUGAUUGCGUUAAGCUGUGAUUUUUUAGAUUUUUGGUUUGGUUUGUGGUAAUUGGUUUAUUGAAGGCGGCAUUUUGAUGCUGUUUUGCUCUAACAUUGAUCUCUUGGUUGUUCUAUUUUUGGGUUCUUAUUCGCUAUCUAGGAGAUGUAAUUGUGUUUACAAUUGGUUGUAGUUAGUUGGGUUAAGAUCGAUCCUUAUGUGUUUGGGCUGGUUUGGGGGUUAUUGCUUUGUUAAAGGUGACAAUUUGGUUUUGUUUUAUUAAUUGUUUUCAUUAGCUAACUUUAGUAUAUUAUUUGAUUGUGAUCCUCUUCUUUUGCCUAAUCUUAAUUUGGAUUCUUAAUCACUAACCAAGAUAUGUAAUUGUAGUUAGAAUUAGUUGUGUGUUAUUGGGUUAAGAUUUGAUAUUUGAGUGUUUGGGUUGUAGUUUUGGUAAAAGAAGCAUUUUAAUGGUGUUUUGUUCCAACAUCGAUCUCUAGGUUGGUCUCUGCAUUGUUCCUAAUUACGUAAUUAGGAUUUAAACACUACGCUGGUGAUGUGAUUACGGUUAUAUUUUGUUGCAUGUAAUUGCACGAAACUUUAAUUUCUGAGUAAUUGGGUUGAUUAUUUUAUUAUUGGUUUGGUAAUUAAGGAGCAUUUUGAUGUUGCUUGUUAUAUGUGUUGGUUUGUUGAAGUACUUUUCUUUAAAGUGUUUUUAGUAUGGUAUGUAAAAAGAUGAAAUGAAAUGCCGGAAUAGGCCAAUUAUCUCGGUUUGAAGAAUUGUUAAACUACAUGUAUUAAUUGAUUUUAUAAUGUUGGAUUUAAUAUUCUGAGAGCAUGCAUCUAAGGUCCAAAUCCCAAUUUGAAGUGUAUUUAACACCUAUUCGUAGUCACAAUUUUCGUCUUCUCGCAAUCGGAUGUCUCAGUAGAGCCAUUCGAAGAAGCAUUAAUAGAAUAGCUUUCUGAUUUAACUCGUCCCAAGUGCUUCCUACAAUAGCAAGAAUCAGAAGCCUCAAAUUGGAACACUAAACUUUUUGUCCACCAAAUGCCUGGUUUCUUACUUUUGAGUCGAAAAACUCGAGAGCAUUACACCUGCAAUCAUUUUUUUUAACUUUUAAUUUGGCGAAAAUUGAUUUUAUGAUUCUAUAACCAUGAAUGGUGUCUUCAUUCACUCACUAGACUGAAAUUCUACCAGGAAGGAGUACUUUGAGAUUCCCUGGGCCGAGCUGAGAUCGAUGGUGGAGCCGAUGUUCGCGGAGAAGACACUUAUAAGGCACACCGACUACCUUACUAACGCACAAGUAAUCACAUCGCGCGCGACCAAUAUAAACGAAACUGAAGUUUUAACUGAAAAUGGCACGAUACUCCCUUAUGAUUAUCUCGUUAUAGCUACCGGCCACGACUAUGCUUUUCCAAGAAGCCCGGAGCAGAGACUCGAGCAGUUUCAAGAAGGUGAGUUUCAUUCAUCUUUCUUUUAAUUCAAUUCACUUUAAUUCGAUUUUUCACUCUCAUAAAUACAUUUUGUGCUCAACUACUUGAUUUUUCACUAAUUUUUUUUUCCUUUUUCUGUUGCCGAUGCAUGGUAAGAUGUACGCAAAUAAUCUUAUUAUUGUUUGAAUUAGUAUCCAAUUAUUAUCUCAUAGUUUAUUUAUUAAAAAAAUUUCUUCAUUAUCUAUUUUGAGCCAAAGUUAUUAUGCUAACCUUCUGAUUUUUUGUAUAUAUAAAUAUUUUGAGAAAACUGUAUUUUUCAUUUUAUUUUUCUCUUUAGAAUUCGUUAAACAUACACUAUAUUGUCUUAUUAAAUUUUCAUAAGGAUAAAUUGUUAUUCUUUCUAUUUUCAGAUAACAAGAAGAUAGAAUCGUCAAACUCAAUCCUUAUCGUGGGAGGCGGUCCCACCGGCGUCGAGCUUGCCGGAGAGAUCGCAACCGACUACCCAGAAAAGAAGGUGACUCUAGUCCACAGAGGCUCAAGGCUCCUCGAAUUCAUCGGACCAAAGGCUUCUGCAAAAGCCCUGAAAUGGCUCAAGUCGAAGGAUGUAGAAGUGCUUUUGGAGCAAGCAGUCGACCUAAGCUCCUUAUCGGAGAACAACACCGAGUUCACGACAUCAGCGGGGAAAACCAUUAUAGCCGACUGCCACUUUGUUUGCGCCGGCAAGCCGUUGGGAUCGAAAUGGCUCGAGGAAACUAUCUUGAAAGAGAGCUUGGACCAGAAUAGAAGGUUAAUGGUCGACGAGAACUUGAGAGUUAAAGGUCGGAAGAACAUUUUCGCGAUCGGAGACAUUACGGAUGUUCCGGUAAGUAUUGCUUUUAACAAGAAGUUAUAUUUAGUUUAAGGUAAAAAUGUAUAGAACUUAUCUGAACCAUGGACCAUUUUGCGUCGACUACCCAACCUUUCAAUUCGUUUGACUUUGAUUAGUCAUCGGCACUUUGACUUCAAAGUUUAAGGUGAGAAUUGCAUAAAGUGUACUGACUAAACCUGUAAAAACAAACGAUGCAUUCAUAUUUUGCCGUCAAAGUGCCCUCGUCGACUUCAGUUUCGCUAUAACAGUUUACCACCACAAUUCUCUUCUGAGAAGGCUCUGCAACUCUUUGAGGACAAAAUAAAAAUUCGCACCAAACUUCAGCUACUAAAUUUGCAACAAAUACUUUUUCAUCUUUAUGCACUUCAUUUUCUUGUCGAUUUCAUGAAGUUCAUCUACAAUGAUAAAUUUUGAGUUAUAAUUAAAAUUUUCUCCUCUUUUUUCGUUUUUUUUUUUCUGCUGUAGGAACUUAAACAAGGAUACCUAGCUCAGGCUCAUGCUACACUGGUUGCGAAGAACUUGAAAGCAUUGAUAAAAGGGGGCAAAGAGAGCAACCUCGCGGUUUACAAGCCCGGCUCGGCGAUUGCGAUAGUUUCCUUGGGAAGGAAGAGCGCGGUCGCGCAGUUCCCCUUCCUGACGAUGGGCGGGCGCCUGCCCGGCAUGAUCAAAUCCGACGACUUGUUCGUCGGGAAGACGCGGAAAGUUAUGGGUGUGUGAUUUUUAUUGAAUCUUACAAAGUUAUUGAAUGUGUGUGUGUGUGUGUGUGUGUGUGUGUGACAUGUUUAAAUCCUCUUGUGUGUGGUGUGUUGUUGUAUUGAAUUUUGUUUGUUCAUGUUUGUUGGUUUCAGUAAAAUGUUGUGUACAUCACCUGAGUAUGCAUAGCUUGGAAUUUAAAAAAUAAAUGGCUAAAUUACAUGAAAUCCUUUUAUAAGUAUUUGUAUUUUCACCUUUUCUUCUUAACUUUUAAAAUUCUACAUUUCACCUGCUCAACAUUUUAAGUUAUUGUAUUUAGCUUAGUUCAUUUUUUAUAAUUUAUACUGAAAAUACUCUUCAAUAUAUAUAUUAAUUAUUUUUUGUAUAAGAAGAUCAAUUUUGUCAUUUUGCUCUUUCUAUUAAUACUGUACCUCUUUAAAAAUGUUGUUGAAAUUUUAAAGUGACAAAUGUAGAUUUUUAAAAGUCAAGGAGGGAAAGUAAAAAAGUGGGUAUUUUUAGGAAAGUUUUUUGUAAUUUAGUCAAAAUAAAAAUUAAAUAGAGGCUUGUGAUUUAGGAUUACACUGAUCACUUUUGUUGAUGUGUCCUGCAGAUUUAAACUCAUGUUUAUUUAAGAAAAAUAUUGUAUAGAAAAGGAAUAGGGCUAAAAUAGAGAAAAUCUUCUUAUGAAUAUUUGUUUCUUCUUUUUCUUUUCUCUGAUUUUUAAAAUUUAUAUUUUGCCCUCUUAAAAUUUUAGAAACGCUUUUAGGGGUUAUGGCGUUAAUUGAGUGGGCAAUAUGACUAAAUUAUUCUUACUUAUUAUAUAAAAAAUAAUAAAUUUUUAAUAUAUUUGUGUCAUAUUUAAGGGUGUUUUUGAUAUAAAUUAUAAGAAAGGAUUGAAUAGGGAUGGAAUCGUGACUAAACGCAUCAAUUUAAAUGUGGGAAAACUUCAAAAACCCCUCGUGGUUUUGUAGUUUCUCACUUUGCCCCCCUGUGGUUUAAAAUGUAUCAAUUUGUCCCCCUGUGGUUUCUUUUUUCUCUUUUUCUUAUCAAUUUCAUUAUUUUUUUUCUUAAAUCAGUGAUAAAGUUAACAUAAAGGGUACUAAAGUGAAUAUUUGAUAAAUCUAGAUGGGUAUCUGAAGUUUUUUGUAUAUAAUUUAAUGAAAUAUUAACGAAAAAGCUACCGAAAAGAAAAAAACGAAACCACAGGAGGGCAAUUUGAUAUAUUUUAAACCACAUGGGAGCAAAGUGAAAAACUACGAAACCACAGGGGGGUUUUUUGAAGUUUUCCCUUUAAAUUUUCGAGGGGUUAAAAUUUAGAUUUUUGAAAGUCGGGGGGAAAAGUGAAAACGGAUAUUGAUAGGGGUGUUUUUUGUAUUUUAGUCAAAGAAUAAGGACAUUUCCUUUCCUCGUCUAUGAGUAAAUUGCACUAUUAGUCCCUGAGCUUUGAGCGAAGUUCCAUUUUGGUCCCAAACUUUUGAUAAGGAUUCAGUCUAGUCCCUACACUUUCAAAAGCGUUUCAUUUUGGUCCUUGCAUUAAAACCUGUUGUUUCUCAUCUAAUUUAUCUGUUUAUUUGUACAUCAUGAAUUCAAUGUCUUUUUAUCAAUUUCAUACUUUCACUUCAGAGAUUCAAUUUUUAAAUAUAGAGAAAAAAAAAUUGUACUCCAUGGACCGCUAGAUUGAAAUAUAGGAUGAAAAAAAUUGUCGACAAAUGCAUGUUAUAUAGAUAUACAAAUGCAAUCGGUGUAUGUAAUAAUUUAUCCUCUAAUAGUAAAUAUAUGCAAGGACUAAAGUGUGACACUGUUUCGUGAGUUUAGUAACCAGUAACAUUGCGAUUAAAAGUUUGAGAACCAAAAUAAAAACUCGUGGAAAGUUCAAGUAGGAUUGAAGUAAAGCAAUAUUUGCGCCAAAUAAAGCUCAUUUUUCAUAACUGUUAUUUUUUUAAACAUUAGAUAUAUGUAUUAAUCAUUAUAGAUAUUUGGUUUGGUUACGGUAUAGCUAGAGCUGUUUGAAGAAGCAAUGAAAAUUAUCGUAUUAUAUUUUUUAUUUUAUUUUUUUAUUGAUCAAAUGCUUGGCUACUGCUUUUCUAACUAGCUAUUUAUUUAUUUAUUUAGGGGAAACUUCAAAUACCCCCCUGUAUUUUCGCACUUUCUCGCUUUAGUAUCUUGUGGUUUAAAGUGUAUCAAGUUAGUACCUUGUGGUUUCGCACUUUCUGGCUGUAAUACCCUGUGGUUUCAAGUGUAUCAAGUUAGUACCAUGUGGUUUCAAUUUUGUCUUUUUAUUAUUCAUUUCGGAGUAUAUAUUUUAACGAAAUAUUAAACCACAGGUUACUAAAGUGAGAAAGUGCGAAACCACAGGGUACUAACUUGAUACACUUGAAACCACAGGGUACUAAAGUGAGAAAGUGCGAAACCACAGAGUACUAACUUGAUACAUUUGAAACCACAGGGUACUAAAGCCAGAAAGUGCGAAACCACGGGGGUAUUUAAAGUUUCCCAUUUAUUUAUGAGUUUCUCAGAAACCCAUGCAUAUUAUCCUGAUCAACCAAGAUGUGACAAAUUAUUAAAAUAAAUAAACUGAAAAGUUUAUACCAUGACAGUUUCUGAUGUGUAUAUAUGCUAGUUUAUAAAUAGGAAGCUUCCUAUAUCCUUGUAGUUAUUGUUAUUAUUAUUAUUAUUAUUAUCCUACAUGUGCUAAUUAUGAAUUAAAUUCUCUUUAUUGCAUUAAUUAGAUUCAAUUUCCUGAACUGUUAUAAUUAUAAUUUUAUCUUCAUUAAUCCACAUACAAGAGCCAUUUAUGAUGACUUUUGUCUAUAAGGGUGUAAAUAGUUUUCUGGCUGAAAAAUAUUUUUCGUUCAUUUGAUUUUCAAAAAAAAUAAAUUUUUUAAAUUUUUUUAAGAUUCAUGAAAAAGUCUUUUUAAAUUUAUUUUUUUGUCUAGAAAAUGGAAAAUAUAGAAAUUUGAUGAAAUUGAUGAUGAAUUUACUAAAAUCUCCAAUCUAAUUAAUCACUAGAAUCACUUGAUUUAAAAAAAGAAAAUCAACCUAUCUGAUCUUAACAUUAAUUAGAAAAAACAGAAACUUGCAAAGUAAUUUUCUAUUAAAAAAAGAAAAUGGCAUAUAUUAUACAUCUCAACUAGUCCUUAGUAGAGCUACUUCUCAAUUAUGAAUUAUUAUUCUCAUCAAGUGUCCAAAAGCCCCUUUUUUUUUUUGCAGCUUAUUAAUUAAUUUACCUACUGGCUUAUUUUCACAGAAGCCAAAGCAUCAUCUUCUCCCUUGAGCUUACAAGAAGGGCACAUGAUAAGUGUGUGCUCAUUUUGAUAUUGUUGUACAUAAAAUGGUAAUUUGAGCCUCAUUAAUCUCAGUUCCUCUAACUUCUCCUUCAACUUUUGGUUCUCCUCACUUAGCCUCUCACAGCACUUCUUUAGCAUCUCAUAGUUCACCUCAUUUUGCUUCAACUUACUCCUACAUAUCACACACACACAAAAAAAAAAAAAAAAAAUCAAAUCAAAUCAAAUCAAAUCAAACAUGUUCCAAUAUAAACUAUAAGAAAAUCUCAAUAUAAAUACGCUUUUUAGAUAACGUCCCUGUAAUAUAUAUAGUAAAUACUGGCGCUUUAAAAGGCGUUGUCAUAUUUACCCUCUACUGUAUCAAACCAAUUUAUUAAAUGAUGAACUUUACUAUUAGUGUAAAGCGUCAGAAUUUUGAAAAAACCCGACGCUUUAAAAUGCCAGAAUAUAUUUUACCGACGCUUGGCAUAAACGUCGGUAUAUGUGCAGCGACUCUUCAUUUGCUGAUACUUAACCGAUGUUUUCAAAUAUGACGCUAGAUUAUAUUACGACGCUUUUAAGUGUCGUUAAAUAUAUAUAAGAAAAGCUUUAUAUGUAUAUAUACCUAGCUCUUCUAUUUUGGAACCACACUUCGACUUGUCGCGGACUUAGGUUUAACUUGUGGGCUAGUUCUUGCUUCAUGCUCUAUCAAAAAAAAGAAGAAGCAAAAUGUGUUAGCAAAAGUUGAUGAAUAUAUGUAAAACAUGAACGAAAACGUUGCGAUAUUUGCUUUAAAAAGAAAAAGAAAAGAAGAAGAAGAAGAAGAAGAAGAGAAAUUCGCAUACGGAAUUAAGGGUGUUGUGUUGAACGAAGCUGCUUUCGAGCAACGCGAGUUGAUCUUUCGUGAGCCGAAGCUUCUUCCUCGUGCAUCCGUUGCCAUCCUCGCCGCCGCUUUCGACUCCGUUGUUGACGCUCCUCGACCUCGAUUUACAAAGAGAGGCGUAGUUCUCGUUCCCGACCGAUUCGUUGAUCAUGUCCUUGUUGUUCUGGUUCGACUGUGACGGGAACAACACGUCGAACUUGACGGGCGGCCUCGGGUCGACCUCGCGACGCCGUUUAGGUUUCCGACUCUCGCCAUCUUGGCCGCCUAAGCCCAGGCAAAGGAUUGUCAUGGUGAAGUCCCUUUCAUGUUCCAUGCAAAGGUAUAUUUAUAUAUAUAUAUAUGUAUAUAUUUGUUCCUAUGGAAAGAGUAGUGUGUGUGUGUGUGUGUGUGUGUGUGUGUAUGGAUGGAUGGAUUUGGUGGUUAAGAUGGAAAAGUAUUUAUAUAUAGAUAUAUAUAAAUAUGAGGGAGAGGAGAGGAUCAGGAAAUAAAAAGGAGGGAAAAGAUGGAAAGAGGGGGUUUCUCUUUUGUGCUUUAAUAUUGGGAGUAAGAGUAUGCGUUUGUUUUGUGUUAUUGUGAGCUUUUAUAUAUAUAUAUAUAUAUAUAUAUAUAUAUGAGAGAGAGAGAGAGAGGGAUUGUCAUGUGUUAUUAAGAGCUUUUAUACAAGAGAGAGAGAGAGAGAGAGAGAGAGAGAGCAAAAACGCUGGCCGAGAAAGAGAGAGAAGCUAGAGAGAGAUUGUAUGGCUUAUUGAGAGCUUUUUUUUAUAUCGAGAGAGGAGAGAGAGAGAUUGUUCAUUGUUUAUUUGCAAGCUUCCAUAUUAAGAGAGAGAGAGAGAGAUUGUCAUAUGUUUAUUGAGAGCUGUUUUAUAUAAUGAGAGAGAGAGAGUCAGAGGAGAGAUAGAAGGACGAGAGAGAGAGAAGAUUGCCAUGUGUUUUGAGAGCCUUUUAUGUAAAGAGAGAGAGAGAGAGAGAGAGGAGAGGAGACUUGAGAGAGAGAGAGAGAGAGAUGUGUGUGUACUCUCCUAUGAAUAAAACACUAUGGUGGUGUUGUGGUGUAUAAGGAAGCAACACACACACACACACACACACACACACCACACACAAGAAGGAAAGGUAUGGAAGCGUCUAUUUAAGUUGAAGCAUUAUAAUUCUCUUGGACAGUUCCUUAAUAGAGUAAACAAUCAUCUUUGUUGGACAUAAUAAUGCAUGAGAACAUGUGGAGGUUUUUAGUAUAGUUUCAUUAUAAAAUAAAAGACCUGUAGGAAUUGUGCUGUAUAGGAAAACAUUGUUAGUGGUAUUUUCGUCAUUUUAAACUUGGUUAUUAGCUCUAUUAGUGAUUUUGACAUGUUGAUAUAACCCCACCACUGGUUUUAAUACAGUUGGUUGUAUUUCCAAUUCACCGAUCAAAAAGUUAUGUGUUGAUCUCUCUACGCAACGGAAGUAUAAUAUAAAACCAAGUGAUUUAGCUCUUAUUUCGUGCUGCGAAUAUAUAUAUAAACACUUGCUUAUAGGCUAGAAAUUAGAUAAAUGCUUUUUGGGUUACUGCUAGGUUUGGCUUGCGUUAAUGCUAUUCAAUUCCAUCAACAUUUACAAAAAAUAUUUUUAGGGUUUGGGUUUAUUACACAUUGCUAUACUUUCAUUUCAUUUUAUAUCUACAAGCCCAAGGAGGGAAAAAAAAAAAAGAGGUACAACUUGCCAAUAUUAAAUUAAUCUAGACGACAAUUUUAUUACUUCGAUCAUCAUUUAGUAUUUCUGUCGUAUUAGAUUUAAGACUCUGUUUGGAAUUAUAGUAGAAUGCCACUACAUUCGCCGGUCCAAAUUAAAAGCGAAGGCGCAAUAUUUUUUUUGUUUUUUGAAUUAAAAUUAUGUUGCGUAUAUUGUAAUCAAAUUUGUUAAUAUAUUAAUUUCUAGUCGACAAGUAUCAGAAACAGAGUAGUAUAUUUUUCUGUCGUUUUAGAUUUAGACUCUGUUUUUGGAAUGUUACAAUAGAAUGCACUACAUGCCGUCCAAAUUAUAAGCAAGGGCAAUAUAUUUUUUUGUCUUUGCUGAAAUAGAUAUUAUGUUGCGUAGUAUAUGUAAUUAUUUUGUUAAUAUAUUAAUUUCUACUCGGCAGUAUCAGAAAAUAGAGUACGAUAUCUUUAUAUGUUUUUACCUAACUAAACAAGAGAGAAAUAUAUAUUCACUAUAUAUUUUUUUAGUCACAUACCCUCAAUACAAAAUUACGUAAAUAGUAGCAUUUUACCUAUAUUAGGGUGGGUUGGGGCCUAGCUUUUAAAAGCGCUUUUGGGCUGAAAUAACUGAUUUUUCGGACUCGAACGUAGAGCGUGUUGGCAACUCACUUUUAAAAUCUGAAUUCUGCUUUUAGAAUCAGAAACUAAUUUUUGAAGGCCUCAGAAUCAGAAGCCAGAAAAAAGCUCCUUCUCACAAAAUGAUUUGAUUUGGAUUUAAACUUUCAAAAUUUUACUUUUUAUUUUAGUUGUUUAUAUUUAAAUUUAAUUUAUAAUUUUAUAAAUUUUAAAUUUUAAAUUUUAAAUUUUUAAUUUCAGAUUCAUUUUAAAAUUUUUAAAUUUUAACUUUUAAAUUUUAAAAUUUGAAAAUGAUAAAUUUUUAAAUUUUUAAAUGUCAAAUCUCAAAUUUUAGAUUUUAAAAUUUCAAAUUUUAUUUCAAAUUUCAAAUUAUUAAAUUUCAAAUUUCAUAUUCAUUCAAAUUUUAGAUUUUAAAAUUUCAAAUUUUAAAUUCAAAUGUUAUAUUUUAAAAUUCAAUUUCAAAUUUCAAAUUUUAAUUUUCAAAUUUCAAAUUUCAAAUUUAAAUUCAAAUUUUAAAUUUUAAAUUUUAAAUUACAAAUUUAAUUUCAGAAUUUUGACAAUCUGAUUUUAGAAUUUAUUAAAAAUUUUAAACAUUUAUUCAAGAAUUAUAAAUUAUAAAUUUUAAAUUUUAAAAUUAUAAAUUUAUAAAUUUUAAUUUUCAAAUUAUAAAUUUCAAAUUUUAAAUUUUAUAUUUUAAAUAUUCAAAUUUUAAAUUUUAUAUUUUAAAUUUCAUAAUUAUUUUAAACUUUAAAUUUUAAAUUUAAAUUUUAAAUUUUAAAGUUUAAAAUUAAAUAUAUUUUUAAAAUUAAAUAGCUUUUCAAACAGCUUUUCAAAAUUUUUAAUUUGCCAAACAGCCUUUUAAAAUCACUUCAGAAAAAAUCACUUUUAUUUAAACUCCGCCAAACGCUCUAUAGCUUUUAAGCAAAAUCACUUCUCCAAACUAAAAUCACUUUUUCAGAAAUCACUUUUUCAGAAGCUAGGCCAAACAGGCCCUUACUACUUAUGAGGAGCCAAUGAAAUAGCAUUGCUUUCAUAAAGGGAGGAAACAAAGAUAGUUAAUUAGCCUAUGACAACAUGCCAAGUGUCAAUAAACCAUUGGAUGUUGUAUAGCAUCUCAGUAGGCCCCACACACCAACAUGAUCUUUCAAUUCCGGCCCUUCAUAUAAAUUAAAUUAAAUAUAUAUAUACCUAAAAAGAGGGAUAUAAAUGAAAAAAAAUAAUAGUGAGGAGCUCUCCAAUUACAUAACCAUUAAGGAUGCUCGAUCUGUUAUCACAUGUCACUUUUAUCUCUAGCUAAAAAUUAUAAUAUGUUUCUCUCUAAUUUUAAAUUUAUUUGGGAUUUUUUAGUAUUAAAUAACACUAGCGAGCGAUUGUAUGGAAGAAAAACUAAUAUGUAGCAGCAGAUCGGGGCUGUGACAUCAUAGGGGAGCUCUCCAUUAAAGUUUUAUCCGGAUAUGAAAAGGCCAUAAAGAGUUUCUUUUUUGUAUCUUCAUUGAGAUUAAUUAGCUCUUAAGCAUGAUUUAAGAGGUCCUCUUUAUGCCUCUCUAAUGGCUAGUUAAUGUGGUUAGAACCAUUGGUUUUAGCCUUUAAGGAUGGAUUUUUUUCAGUAUAGAAAAUAAUUAUCUGAUUCGCAAGCAUUAGCGCAGCUACAAAUCGCAAUUCAAACUUUAAAAAGUU